rnacentral:rRNA from 1 species
AGGUAGAGAAUACCAAGGCGCUUGAGAGAACUCGGGUGAAGGAACUAGGCAAAAUGGUGCCGUAACUUCGGGAGAAGGCACGCUGACACGUAGGUGAAGUGAUUUACUCAUGGAGCUGAAGUCAGUCGAAGAUACCAGCUGGCUGCAACUGUUUAUUAAAAACACAGCACUGUGCAAACACGAAAGUGGACGUAUACGGUGUGACGCCUGCCCGGUGCCGGAAGGUUAAUUGAUGGGGUCAGCGCAAGCGAAGCUCCUGAUCGAAGCCCCGGUAAACGGCGGCCGUAACUAUAACGGUCCUAAGGUAGCGAAAUUCCUUGUCGGGUAAGUUCCGACCUGCACGAAUGGCGUAAUGAUGGCCAGGCUGUCUCCACCCGAGACUCAGUGAAAUUGAACUCGCUGUGAAGAUGCAGUGUACCCGCGGCAAGACGGAAAGACCCCGUGAACCUUUACUAUAGCUUGACACUGAACAUUGAGCCUUGAUGUGUAGGAUAGGUGGGAGGCUUUGAAGUGUGGACGCCAGUCUGCAUGGAGCCGACCUUGAAAUACCACCCUUUAAUGUUUGAUGUUCUAACGUGGACCCGUAAUCCGGGUUGCGGACAGUGUCUGGUGGGUAGUUUGACUGGGGCGGUCUCCUCCUAAAGAGUAACGGAGGAGCACGAAGGUUGGCUAAUCCUGGUCGGACAUCAGGAGGUUAGUGCAAUGGCAUAAGCCAGCUUGACUGCGAGCGUGACGGCGCGAGCAGGUGCGAAAGCAGGUCAUAGUGAUCCGGUGGUUCUGAAUGGAAGGGCCAUCGCUCAACGGAUAAAAGGUACUCCGGGGAUAACAGGCUGAUACCGCCCAAGAGUUCAUAUCGACGGCGGUGUUUGGCACCUCGAUGUCGGCUCAUCACAUCCUGGGGCUGAAGUAGGUCCCAAGGGUAUGGCUGUUCGCCAUUUAAAGUGGUACGCGAGCUGGGUUUAGAACGUCGUGAGACAGUUCGGUCCCUAUCUGCCGUGGGCGCUGGAGAACUGAGGGGGGCUGCUCCUAGUACGAGAGGACCGGAGUGGACGCAUCACUGGUGUUCGGGUUGUCAUGCCAAUGGCACUGCCCGGUAGCUAAAUGCGGAAGAGAUAAGUGCUGAAAGCAUCUAAGCACGAAACUUGCCCCGAGAUGAGUUCUCCCUGAGACUUAGAGUCUCCUGAAGGAACGUUGAAGACGACGACGUUGAUAGGCCGGGUGUGUAAGCGCAGCGAUGCGUUGAGCUAACCGGUACUAAUGAACCGUGAGGCUUAACCUUACAACGCCGAAG